UUUGGUGCGGCCAACCGACAUGGGGCUGUCUCAUCACUCUCCCUCCCAUCAUUGAAUUUGUUGGGGUUGGGAUGCUUGUGAUCGGUUGCCUGUGUAGUUCUACCUUGUUGUGGGUAGCGAAGUUGUCCCUCGAUUGAUUUUUGCUUGCCUUUUUUGACUUUUUUUGUCGUUUGGGCAGCCGAAAUGAUGGCAAAAUCCUUGUGUAGGUGCGUGGUCGAAUGGCUUUGUUGCUAUCACUUGGAUUUUUGUCGGCUUUCACGGAUGCAGUGCUUAGUGCUAGUGCUGUGUGACUUUGCCUCGCAGACUUUGGGAGGUCCCUUGUACGAAUCAUAGCUUUCGGAUGCCGUUUGUCGUGUUGCUUGUUUGGCACGCAAAUCGUAUUGUUCUGCCUGGAGUCGGGAUGACGAAAGUCAGAAUGAAGUGUCUGGGGUGUGUUUGCGUACAUGGGGAAUGCCUCUCUGAUAGUAUGAGCAGCGAUUUCCGGCUUGUGUCCUGCGAAGGCCUGCCCGUUUGGGUUGUUGCUGGAGCUG
rnacentral:misc_RNA from 1 species